rnacentral:rRNA from 1 species
GACGAACCGUCCAAACGUUAUUCGGAAUCACUGGGCUUACAGAGUUCGUAGGCGGUCCCAAAAGUUAGGUGUGAAAUCCCUCGGCUCAACCGAGGAACUGCGCUUAAAACUGUGGGACUCGAGGGAGAUAGAGGAAAGCGGAACUGAUGGUGGAGCGGUGAAAUGCGUUGAUAUCAUCAGGAACACCGGUGGCGAAGGCGG